rnacentral:rRNA from 1 species
AUUGAACGCUGGCGGCAGGCCUAACACAUGCAAGUCGAGCGGAUGACGGGAGCUUGCUCCUUGAUUCAGCGGCGGACGGGUGAGUAAUGCCUAGGAAUCUGCCUGGUAGUGGGGGACAACGUUUCGAAAGGAACGCUAAUACCGCAUACGUCCUACGGGAGAAAGCAGGGGACCUUCGGGCCUUGCGCUAUCAGAUGAGCCUAGGUCGGAUUAGCUAGUUGGUGAGGUAAUGGCUCACCAAGGCGACGAUCCGUAACUGGUCUGAGAGGAUGACCAGUAACAAUGGAACUGCGACACGGUCCAGACUCCUACGGGAGGCAGCAGUGGGGAAGAUUGGACAAUGGGCGAAAGCCUGAUCCAGCCAUGCCGCGUGUGUGAAGAAGGUCUUCGGAUUGUAAAGCACUUUAAGUUGGGAGGAAGGGCAGUAAGUUAAUACCUUGCUGUUUUGACGUUACCGACAGAAUAAGCACCGGCUAACUCUGUGCCAGCCGCCGCAGUAAUAC